rnacentral:lncRNA from 1 species
CGACUCCUGAGAUGGCAGAUCUCUUUCGCCAUGAUUGCAAUGAAUUUGAGGAGGGUUUCAGUUUUGGAGUUUUGCGAAGACACACAGAGAGAUAGAUAGAGAGAGAGAGAGAGUGGUGGUGGUGGUGGUGACAGUUUGCAAAGCAAGGAGUUAGUUAGUACAGUCUGAUCAUAAAUUGCGCUUAUAAAGAAAAUAGUUUGAACGGAGACUCUAAUUCCCAAAUACUAUCAUUUUGUGACACGAGGAAAUAUAACUAAGUUUCAAAUUGAUUUCAAUCUCCCUUUUUCUUCCAUUCUAAGAUACAAAUCUGAAAUCUAUCACUUGCUAAGAGAAUUUAAUUUCCAGUAAUUAAAAUGAUGUUAGUUCAUUUCCUUUAAGAUUUCGGUACAGAACCGUUCUGAUUCAAAAUACCGUUGAGGGUGGGGCCGCAGUUUUGCAGGGUUAGUUUAGACAUUUCACUUGCCUUCACAUUCAAUUCCAUCUCACCAGAAAAAGUAGGGGAAAAACUUAAGUUCCUUCAAAGGGGCAACAACAUAGUUUGAUAUUUCUUCCUUAAUUUUACUUAAAAAAGAGUUAAGCACACCCAAAUCCACUAUUUUCACAAAUUGACGAAAACAAGAUAUAAUUACAAUGAAUUACUAUAAAUGGAGGUGCAAAGUGGGACUUCCUUGUUUAAUACACUCUCCGUCCACGAUAAGUGUGGUAUGAAUGAGAAGACAUAUCUUAUGAAAAAAUAUUGAAAAAUGCGCGAUUGUUAUAGUGAUUUUUUUGUAAAAAUACAAGAGAUUUAAUAAAAGGCUCGGUUCAGUAAUGGUCAAUAUGAAACAUCCACAAUAGGAUCAUCUGGUUAUGUUUUAGUAGAAGAAUGAAGUUUAAUUUUACCAAUACUCAAUAAUUACUACAAAGUAAAUUAGUAAAGCCAUCAUAAUAAUCAUCUAAAAAAGACAUAGAACUUGCGACAAGAAAAUCAGAAAAGAUGUUAUGAUCAGUGAGUAGGCAGGACAUGUUUCGUUUGUUUGCGAGCUAGUCACUACUUGAAUUAUUUAUAUUCUAACAUUAAUUCAGUCCUAUCUCUUUGGAUUAUAUUAUAUUCAAUAUUCGGAUUAUUGAACAAAAAUGGACUAUAAGAAUCAUGUGUAAUUGAAUCCUAGAAAACCUGAGCCAUGAAACAUGCAGUACAUUUAAUUAUUCUUCUGUACGUUGCUAUCAAAUUUAACACCAAAACUGGACGUCCGCAAAUAUUAAUUAAUUUUUUAAUUAGUAUUGAUGAAUUCUUUUAAUUGAAUUAAUUCCUUAGAAAAGAGGGGCAGCCGCACGGCUCAAGAGAUAUUCAUUUCUCUCAAUUUAAUUUAACAUGCAUUCAUUUUGAAGUUGAGAGCUGGAUUCUCUAACUCUUCAUAUGUGGGUUCAGAUUCGAAUCGUAACCUAUCUUAUAAUUUUGACAUUGUACUGUAUAAAUUAAUUAAUUGCUUUUAGAAUAAGAUGUGAGGAGCGUAAAAUUUUCAUAAUAUUUGAGAUCAUAUAUGUAGUGUUUCAUACCUAACCAAAUUAACUGAUUUUCCGGUGCAUAUUGAAGUUGCCCCUUAUCUUAAUCAAUAAAUCUAUGCAGUCACAUUGUGGCCACCCACACACUAGUAUAAUAAGGAAAAUCUUAAUUUAUUUAAUUUAUUUUUUAGAAAAAAAUAAAAUUUAUUUAUUUUACUAUAUUCUCUAGACUGUAUUAUUUUUUUCUUUUAUAAUUUUUCGAUUCUCUACUGAUUGUGCAUCUCAAGUUAUUAACUAUUUCUUUUACACUUACUUUGAGAGAAAGGGAGUGAGAGUAGCACACAACAAUCUCCAUGUAAUCAUGAUUCUUGACUAUUCGUACUCUUCGAUUUCUCCUCAAAAAAAAAACUCUUCGACUUCAUGUACUUGUGGAGUUAAUUGUUUACUAGUUCGAAACACCUUAAUUUAAUCGAAAGUGAAGAAUAAAAUUAUGAAACUAGUUUAAUAGUAACUAAAACAACUCACGUGACAUGAUGCAAUGUAUCUCAACUCUCAAGUAGACUUUGGUUUUUGAAACGCCUACAAUAUAGCAUCAUACACCUAUGAAGAGUGCUCCAUGCUUGAAAGUUAACACGUGCAGAGUUGUCAUUACACGUGCAGAAUUGAACACAGUUGCUUUUCAGGUUAGUUCCACUUUUCUUAAUGGUAUAUAGCGGAGUAAUUUUUUGUUAGACAUAUCUUGCUUUAUUUUAAGGAUGAGUUGUCUUUAAUUAGUCAUGCACCAUACAUUAGUUAAUUUUUGUGUGUGCGUGCUUUUUAUAAUAGCUCCUAUAAUCCAAAUUUUGCAAGUCUUUUGAAUUUGAAGUAUUAUAUAAUUAAAUCAAUCCAUUCAUCUGACAUGAAGUGUUUGACUAAGCUUAUUUUAAAGAGCUUAUAAGCUUUUGGAGCUUAUAAGAUAUUUCAAGAGCUUAUAAGAUUUAAUUUCUUAAGAGCUUAUAAGUUGUCAAAAUAUUUGGAUAAAUAAGCUUAUAAGCUAGAGAGAAAUUUUACUUAGUGAGAGAGAGAAAAUCAAAAAAAAAAUGAAAUUAGAAUGAUAUAUGAUAAAAAUAAAAAAUCAUAGUUGAGUUAUUUUUGUAAAAUGAGUAUUGCUUAUAAAAUAAUGAGAAAAUAAAUUGAGAUAGAGAAACUUAUUUUUUGGGGAGCUUAUAAGCUAUUUAGUAGCUAUUUUGCCAUACACUUUGAAGAAGUUUAUAAGCUCCUAAACAGCUUAUAAGCUGAUUUUAAGAGCUUAUAAGCUCAACGAAACACCCACUAAAGCAAUCUCAAACACGGGCCUAAUAAUAUAAAUAAAUAAAACAUUUACAUAGAUAUGAUAUGUAUACGUAAAAUAAGAAAUACAUUUUUAAUCUUAAAAAAAAUAAGACAUACAUGUAUACAAAAUCUAAAUUUAUUUUCGCACGUGUGGUGACCGACAUGUUUGCCUUAAUGGGGAAACUGGUCCUCCACCAGCUGAUCAAUAAUUGCCAGGAAAUGCAUGCAUCUCAUCUAGUGUGUGUGUGUGUGUUAGAGAGAUGAGAGAGAUGGAUCUCAAUUGUAGGAGGAAACAUGGCACGAUAGUAUGUUUGAAGCCUUUACUACACUCCUAAACCCAGAAAUGAAAUGAAUAGAAAAUAAAGCAGCUUCAUUUGCUGUCGAAUAUAAGUGCUAAUAUAUCCUUUUGACUAUAGUAAACAUAAGCCAAGAGAGAGCAUUAGGUGGCUGUGGUUAAUGUAGAAAUGGCAAGAGCUUCAUACCAGAUGUUCAGCACAUUGAAAAUUUGCAAUUGAGCAUGAUUUUAAAUGGGGGUGAUGAAUUUUGAAACAAAAAUCACAACGAGGCCAAUUUACACAUAUACUGUCCCUGUGAUACGAUAUCUU